AUUGAACGCUGGCGGCAUGCCUUACACAUGCAAGUCGAACGGUAACGGGCCUUCGGGUGCCGACGAGUGGUGAACGGGUGAGUAAUACAUCGGAACGUGCCCGAUCGUGGGGGAUAACGAAGCGCAAGCUUUGCUAAUACCGCAUACGAUCUACGGAUGAAAGCCGGGGACCGCAAGGCCUUGCGCGGACGGAGCGGCCGCUGGCAGAUUAGGUAGUUGGUGGGUUAAAAGCUUACCAAGCCGACGAUCUCUAGCUGGUCUGAGAGGAUGAUCAGCCACACUGGGACUGAGACACGGCCCAGACUCCUACGGGAGGCAGCAGUGGGGAAUUUUGGACAAUGGGCGCAAGCCUGAUCCAGCCAUGCCGCGUGCAGGAUGAAGGCCUUCGGGUUGUAAAAUGCUUUUGUACGGAACGAAAAGCCUUCUUUUAAUACAGGAGGAUCAUGACGGUACCGUAAGAAUAAGCACCGGCUAACUACGUG
rnacentral:rRNA from 1 species